rnacentral:rRNA from 1 species
AGAGUUUGAUCCUGGCUCAGGAUGAACGCUGGCGGCGUGCCUAAUACAUGCAAGUCGAACGCUUCACGCAAGUGAAGAGUGGCGAACGGGUGAGUAAAACAUAAGCAACCUGGCCUUAACAGGGGGAUAACUGUGGGAAACGACAGCUAAAACCGCAUAGGCAUAUAUAACGCAUGAUAUAUAUGUUAAAAGUCCUAAGGGACUGGUAAAGGAUGGGCUUAUGGAGCAUUAGUUAGUUGGUGGGGUAAAGGCCUACCAAGACGACGAUGCAUAGCCGGCCUGAGAGGGUGAACGGCCACACUGGGACUGAGACACGGCCCAGACUCCUACGGGAGGCAGCAGUAGGGAAUUUUCGGCAAUGGGGGGAACCCUGACCGAGCAACGCCGCGUGAAGGAAGAAGGCCUUAGGGUUGUAAACUUCUGUUAUAAAGGAAGAAAGACAAGUACAGGGAAUGGUACAUGAGUGACGGUACUUUAUGAGAAAGCCACGGCUAACUACGUGCCAGCAGCCGCGGUAAUACGUAGGUGGCAAGCGUUAUCCGGAAUUAUUGGGCGUAAAGAGGGAGCAGGCGGUAAUCAAGGUCUGUGGUGAAAGACUGAAGCUCAACUUCAGUAAGCCAUGGAAACCAAAUAACUAGAGUGCAGGAGAGGAUCGUGGAAUUCCAUGUGUAGCGGUGAAAUGCGUAGAUAUAUGGAGGAACACCAGUGGCGAAGGCGGCGAUCUGGCCUGAAACUGACGCUCAGUCCCGAAAGCGUGGGGAGCAAAUAGGAUUAGAUACCCUAGUAGUCCACGCCGUAAACGAUGAGUACUAAGUGUUG